rnacentral:misc_RNA from 1 species
CUGCCCGCCUCUUGUCUGGUCUAAUUAAAACUAUGACCCUUUUGUUUAGUUAGCGUGUGAUUCUGAGCAUUUGCGUAUCUUUUUGGCAUAAAUUAAAACCUGAAACUUGUUGGGCUGAACGCCAAACAAGACCACUUUACGUUCUUCGAUCCACACCGAAUGCGAAUCAGAAUUUAAAUAAGCAAAUGUCUCUCUUUUAUUCUCCAAAUCCCAACGCAUCUCUCUUACUGAAGCCUUCCUCCAUUUCCGUUCCUACGCCAAC